rnacentral:rRNA from 1 species
CGGGGAAUAUUGCACAAUGGGCGAAAGCCUGAUGCAGCGACGCCGCGUGAGGGAUGACGGCCUUCGGGUUGUAAACCUCUUUCAGCAGGGAAGAAGCGAAAGUGACGGUACCUGCAGAAGAAGCGCCGGCUAACUACGUGCCAGCAGCCACGGUAAUACGUAGGGCGCAAGCGUUGUCCGGAAUUAUUGGGCGUAAAGAGCUCGUAGGCGGUUAGUCGCGUCUGCUGUGAAAACUCGAGGCUCAACCUCGGGCUUGCAGUGGGUACGGGCUGACUAGAGUGCGGUAGGGGUGACUGGAAUUCCUGGUGUAGCGGUGGAAUGCGCAGAUAUCAGGAGGAACACCGAUGGCGAAGGCAGGUCACUGGGCCGCAACUGACGCUGAGGAGCGAAAGCAUGGGGAGCGAACAGGAUUAGAUACCCUGGUAGUCCAUGCCGUAAACGUUGGGCACUAGGUGUGGGGUCCAUUCCACGGAUUCCGUGCCGCAGCAAACGCAUUAAGUGCCCCGCCUGGGGAGUACGGCCGCAAGGCUAAAACUCAAAGGAAUUGACGGGGUCAUAGCUGUUUCC